AUCAGGCACCCACCUGGAGAACGAGGGAAUUUAUUUCAAGUUUUAAGUCAGCAUCAGGCGCCCACCUGGAGAAUGAGGGAAUUUGUUUCAAUUUUCAAGUCAUUAGCAGGCGCCCGCCUGGAGAACGAGGGAAUUCAUUUCAAAUUUCAAGUCAGUUGCUGGCGCCCACCUGAAGAAUGAGGGAAGUCAUUUCAGAAUUCAAUUCAAGUUAGAAGUAGCAGAAGCUCGCCUCAAGAAUGCAAAUUGACAAUCCGAGAUAACCAAAGGAAGAAGUCUCAAUCCAGAAUUAAAAAAAAAGAAAAGAAGAGAAGUGAAUCCAAAAUGCAGAAGCCGAUGAAAGAUGUGAACUGCUCAAGACAUGGCUGAAGUCACAAGCUUUGCAUGUCCCGUCUUGAUCUGAAAAGCUGAAGAAGAAAGAACUAGAACAUGCAGCUAGCAAGCAUCAAGGUUCAAAUCAAAAGUCCGCAUGAAGAACCAUUCAAGACUCAAGAUCAAGCUUCAGAAGACUCAUAGAUAGGAAUCUUGUAACUCAUAGCUGAUAGGCUUAGUUAGUUUUUUUUUCAUUUUGACUUUGGUGUAAUAGGGAGCUCAACAAGCAGUAAACAAUAGCAACAACAGUGAAAUCACAGCUUCUCGGUAGUCCCAACUACCUAAACUUCCAGAACUACACUGACUUGAUUUCUUUAUAGCCAAGGAUAUGUAGGCAACCUGCGAAGCAGUGUUCGGUCAAACUUUUCAAAAAAAAACGCUUCCCAUGGAGUAUCCAAACUGGCAAAAAUUGCUCGUAAUUGCUCACUUUAUCUUUGCCCGAAAACUCUUCAUAUUUCCGGGCAAAGAGGGACAGCUGUGAGCACCUAAUUUUUGCCCUAAUAUAAAAUUACUCCUAAAAAAUUCAAAAAAUAGCUUUAAAUUAUUUUUCUAUAUUUGUACUUAGUUUUCUUUGCACGUAUUCAUGUUUGAUGCAUUUUUAAGUUGCAUUUUAAAUCAUAAAGAAAAUACAAAAAUAUUUUUAAUUUUUACAUUUUUUAGAUUUUAAUUGCAUAAUUAAUUUCAUUUGUAAAAUACUAAAAUACCCCAAAAAUAUACAUUAGUAACUCUACAUGCAUUAGUUAGCUAAAUAAAUUAGUUAAUUGUAGAAAAAUAGGUCAUUAGGUUAAUUUUACAAAUUAGUUGGAAUUAGGAGUGUUAAAUAAAUUGAUUAGUCUUGCAAAAUACAAAGAAAGAAAAGAGAAGGCUAUAGGGUCUCAUUACAGCUUUGGGCCAGGUGCGUCUAGUGGCCCAUUUUCCUUCCAUUCGCCCAAGCCCGCUACCCGCCGGCCUAAUAUCCCCCUUCAUCCUUAAAAUAGACCCUAAUUUGCCCCCUCUCUCGGGAACCACAACAGAGAAUGGGCGCACUCCCCCCACUUCCUUCGUUCCCAUGAAGAAGAGAUCAGAUUCCCCCCUUACACAUAAAAAACCCUAGCCGUCUGUCAUACCUCUUUUUUCCCGCAAGGAGAUAUGGGGUUAGGGGAGUUUUUCCAAUUAGAGUGGACAAUAUUCAAAAAGGGAUUAUUUAUUUAAUCAGAGUCGCCACUUGGAAUAAUUUAUGGUGUCCCAAGUCACCGGUUUAUUUUAAAUCCCAAAUCGAGGAAAUUUGACUCUAUUAUGGUCUGCGAACACAGAAAGACCGGGUAAGGAAUUCUGUUAACCCGGGAAAAGGUGUGAGGCACUCCCGAAUUUCGUAGUUUUAGUACGGUCGCUCAACUAUUAAUAAUUGACAUAAUUAUAUGAUUAAUACAUAUUUAUAACCUAUUGUGCAUUUUAGCUUUUUAACCGCUUUUAAUUAUUUAUGAAAAUUAUUUGAACAAGUCGCGAUGUCGCACACUUGUUUGUUUUUGUACACAUUGCGAAUCACGCCACGUGAAAUAUACCUGUGAUUUACAACAUGUUAAUUUCUAUUAUUAUUCGAAGUUCUGAUCGGGUCACAUGAAAUGCACACCCGAAUUCGGAUUACGUAUCAUGACUAUGCCACGGGAACCGUACACAUAGUCACGAUAUUUAUUAUUAAUCGCGCCUAAAGCAAGCUACGAAUGUAUACUAAUUCGAGUCAUAAACCUUUCUUUAAUACUGCCUUUGGCUCGUCUCGACUCAUGGCUUAUUAAUGAAAUAAACAAUGGAUUUUUCUAGAACCCAUCUCCUAUUCUUUUGUUCUUUUCACUUAUGUCUCAACCAAUUAAUUUUAUUUACACGUCAAUAACUGAAAGUUUGUCGUCAGUCCUACAAAUGUAAACAUUGUCUCAAAAGGCUAUCACAAUGUAUCCAAUACGUAAAAAAAAAAAUUCUAAAAGAAGUGGAAAACAGAAGAUUCUAUGAACUUGAAAAAGACAGUUGAGACAAUUCAACUAGCAAGCACAAUAAGCUUAGAAAAAUAAUGCAUUUCGUCCAUCCUGGUGUCACUCAAAUCAGAUCCAACCUUUAACUAUAUUAAUAAGUUCGCUUCAAUGAUUAAGGGUGGCAAGACAUAGAAUACAGCAUUUUGUAAAACCCAUUUGCAACUCAUAUUAGGACUUAUGUUAGGCACAUGAAAAUUAUCAGUUUAUACUAAAUUACUAACAGUGAUUCAAAUUCUGGACUACUUAUGCAGGCCACUAGAUUGGUAUUAUUCAUUUCCAUAGAAGCUACUGAGAUCUACAACAUACUCCAAAAAAAAAAAACUAAUUUCAUCAAGCACAUAACAUCAAUUUGCAAACUACGUGAUUCAAAAAUAAAACUCCCUGACAGAGUAUUGGAAUGAAAACAUUUCAUAGCACUAGAACAUCCAGAAGUAAUCAUUUUAUUUUUUAAAACUGCAAACAUACCUUAGACAACAAAAUACCACUCAAAAUUAGCCAAAUGAAGCUGGAAUGGAAGGCUAAGGCUCGAAGUGGUCAACAGAAUACUCAACAGCAGUAAACAUCAGUGAUUUGAGGCCAAAUUGAUCUCUUAGAACCCCAGAAAGUAGGAAGCAAACCAAACCAGUAGAAACUCCUUCGAAAUCUCUUUUAAAUCCCAAUUUUCUGUCUUUUAGAACUUUUCUUUCAUCUCAGAUCUCAGCUAGAAUUUUGAACUCCAAGCUUUUACUCGCAGCUUUUUGAAUGUGAAGAACGUUUGAUUCAUGUGUGAAGUUUGUAUCUAUGAAUGUGUUUGUGUGUGCAUUGGGUGAGCGCAGAGGAGUGAGAGUGACUGAGAUCAGAGAAGGGAGGUCUGGCGGCUAGGAUUUUGUUUGAGGGAAGGGGUCUGUCCGUAUUCUAUCUCUGAUCUUUUGAAUCCCCGGGGAGAGUGAAAUUAGGGUAUCCUCUAAUAGAGUGGGGGAGAAGAGUAUGGGC
rnacentral:lncRNA from 1 species